UACGUAGGGUGCAAGCGUUGUCCGGAAUUAUUGGGCGUAAAGAGCUCGUAGGCGGUUUGUAGCGUCUGCUGUGAAAUCUGGGGGCUCAACCCCCAGCCUGCAGUGGGUACGGGCAGACUAGAGUGCGGUAGGGGAGAUUGGAAUUCCUGGUGUAGCGGUGGAAUGCGCAGAUAUCAGGAGGAACACCGAUGGCGAAGGCAGAUCUCUGGGCCGUAACUGACGCUGAGGAGCGAAAGCAUGGGGAGCGAACAGG
rnacentral:rRNA from 1 species